rnacentral:rRNA from 1 species
GACAGAGGGGGCAAGCGUUGCUCGGAAUUACUGGGCGUAAAGGGCGCGUAGGCGGGAUGGCAAGUCGGUCGUGAAAUCCUUCGGCUCAACCGAAGAACGUCGAUCGAUACUGCUGUUCUUGAGGGUUGCAGAGGAGACUGGAAUUCCCGGUGUAGCGGUGAAAUGUGUAGAGAUCGGGAGGAACACCCGUGGCGAAGGCGGCUCUCUGGGACGGUACUGACGCUGAGACGCGAAGGCCAGGGGAGCAAACGGG